rnacentral:SRP_RNA from 1 species
UCGACUAAGGAGGGGCGCACCGGCCCAGGGGGGAAACCCAGCAGGCAAAAGUCCCCGCGUGGUGACGUAGCGGGAUACCGCCUGUAAAUGGUGGCCGUGUGACAGCCCAGUCCGCGCGUGGAGACCGCCUCCGCU